GUCGUAUUCCGUUUAAUACAAUAACUGAUAAACGAAAAAGGGUCAUACACUGGGAAUCUAUUAAACCAAGAGUUCCAAAUGGUCCAGUUGAAAUCAUCCAUUCGUAAAUUUUACGGACGCCAUCAUGAGUUGGUUGACCGUUGUUUCACAUUCACAUGUGAUAUCGGAUAUGUUCCUUAUGUCGUUACUACAACCCCUUUCCCUUUUCACGAAUUUGACCUACCAAAUUAGACUAUUUACCGGAUUUGUAAUAACAUAACGGCAACACGACGGGUGCCACAUGUGGUGCAGGAUCUGUUAUGUACACUUAACACAUCAAUCGUACCAAAUUAAAACCUGGUAUUUGUGAGGAGUGUUUUAAACAGAAAAGUUCAAAGUCCAUUUUCAGUUGUUUCGAUGGAGGUUCUAGUCGACCGUGUGAGUUUAUCAGUUUAUGGACUUCCCUUUCCAGAAUUAACCUAGGAGUUCUGCAUUUUUUAUAUCACUUUUCGGAUUUGAUGAAAUUACAUACAUGGAAAAACCCUAAACAAACACUUUUACCUUGGUCACAAUACAAUAUAAAAUGCACUCAUACCACAUCU
rnacentral:lncRNA from 1 species